rnacentral:lncRNA from 12 species
AUGGAGAAGCAAGACUUAAAGCACCGCAGACGGGGUCCACGUGGGCAGAGAGGACACCAGGAGGACAGAGGGACGUCCCCAAAUCCUGAACACCUGGCCAGGAAGGGGGCUGUCGGGCGAGGCGGGGAGUCUCCCCCGUGCGACCUCAGUGGUCCUCUCGGGUGGUUUGUGAGCCCGUUGAGGAAGCCAGGGGCCUCCAGGAGCAGAGCAAAUAGGGGGCCGGCUGCUCACGCCCCCGUCCAGGCAGGAUGCAGGAUGCAGGCGCGCCCCGGAUUGGCCGAGCCACGCCGGCAGGGCCGAGGGGGGUCGGUCCAGGCGAAGGCACGGGGUGGGGGACUCAGGGCAGAGACUGCUCACGGCCGGGGCACGUGGCCCAGGGAGGCGGGGAGGGACUGCGCAACGCGAGCGCUGCCUCUGUAGCCGGCCCCGCCAGUACUGGGGCUUGUCCCUGCUUCCCGAUGGAGAAACCUGGGGGGCUGCAUCCGUUGUGCAAGAACCCGUAUGUGGGGGAAGGUCUCGGCCCCUCGGCCCCUCCCCGCUCCGCAGGAGGGCCGGUGGUGUUUCCGCACCAGGCAGGUGAGGCCUACGGGACGGUGAGCCUGACUCAGGACACUGUCGUGCCUGCGGUGGCCCGUGCUGCAUAGCGUGCUGCCCGGGGACAUUUCCACCCCUGGGACACCGCCGCUGCCCUUCGCUCCCCUGACACGGGGGUGCCGGCCCCCGGUGCAGGCCUCGGCCCCGAGAGGCACGAACGCCUUUUGGUUUCUGUUGGUUGAGGGUCAGAUGAUUUGAGCUCCUCCAACGAUAAACCAAGCCCCGUGUGGCACAUGCAGAGUUUGCCCCGCUGAGUGCAAGUCCGCAGAGGGCACCGUGCGGCCGCAACGGGCGGGAGCCGGCGCACCGAGGGCUCUCACACGGCGGUCAGCGGUGCAACCAGGACCUGACCAUGUGUCUGUCUGGAUCCAGGUCACGGCUCUUCUAAGCACCUGGAGCUGUCCCCAAGUACCAGUCGCCGCAGCUCGCAUCUAUGACGCCCGUACCGUGUGGGUACGACAUAGCCACACGCCGACCAUGUGCCUGCCGCGUAAGGAUCAUGCUGUCAUCACACACCUGCCGCACAACGUCCACGCCACUUCCGUGCAACGACCAUGUGAGGACCACGCGAGGACCACGUGCCCACGUGCCCACCACUCUCCUGUGGUGCAGCUAGCACGCAGCCACCCCCAAGCUGCCGCCGUGUCACUACCCUUCUACCCUCACAGCGUCGGCUGCGGCAGCGGAGGAGCCUGCUGCGGACGGAGCGCCACCGAGAGCAUGGACGGCGUCCAGGCCUGCGUGCCACCCGCUGCCCAGGACACGUGUCUUGCAAACCAGUAGGAGCUGCUGUGACGUGUCCCAGGGCAUGGCAAUCGGAGGCGAUGCCCUAGAGGCUUGGAAGCUCCUCAUUAGAGCCCUGAGGAUGCUCCUGCCCACGGUCCUCCGGCAUCUGCGUCACUCCGCGAGAGGAGGCCGUCACAGCACCGGGACUGGACGCCUGAAGAUGCUUCAGAUGCUCGAGAUGCGACGAUCUGCUGGCAGGCCCAGCCACGCGUGUCUCACGUGCGGACAGACGCGCCCGCAGAGAGCCUCCGCUGCUGUGCUGCCGGCAUACGCUCUGCUCGAAGCCCUUGGCUGAUGGGACUUUGCCAGGGCCUCAUCUAUUUUGACAAAUGCUUCCUUAUCACGUCUCUGAUUCGGCAUGAAAGUCCUACGGUUCCCUUCAGGGGGAGUUGAACAGUUCUUCAGCGAAGAUUUAUGGAGUCCUCGCCACAUCCCUGCCACGCUCGGAGAGCAGAGACAGCGAGGCCGCCUCUCCAGACCAGGACGGCGAGGCGGAGGCGCCUUGGCCGAGCCGCGAGAGCGACACGCACACACAAGCACGCACAAAGGGGAGCGGGAGACCCCAACGGGGCCGGGCUUUGCAUCCGGGCCGACAGCCUGGCUGUGCGAUUUGCCGCGGUCCUGCAGGGUGUCCUUGCAGAGGGACACUGAUGACGGAGAGGGCGCCAUCCCCGUGCGUUACGUCUUACAGCCAGGGUGAACCUAUGACUGCAUCAAAAUAAUAAAGGGGGGGGGCAGACUUCCCUGCCUUCCCA